UACGGAGGGUGCAAGCGUUUAAUCGGAAUUACUGGGGCGUAAAGCGUGCGUAGGUGGUUCGUUAAGUCCGUUGUGAAAGCCCCCGAGCUCAACUUGGGAAUUGCAGUGGAUACUGGCGAGCUAGAGUGCGGUAGAGGAAGGUGGAAUUCCCGGUGUAGCGGUGAAAUGCGUAGAGAUCGGGGAGGAACACCAGUGGCGAAGGCGGCCUUCUGGACCAGCACUGACACUCAAGCACGAAAGCGUGGGGAGCAAAACAGG
rnacentral:rRNA from 1 species